UUUCCAAUACUCUCUAGCCCAAACUAUGGUGUCCUUCCAUGCCCACGAUGCCUGUGUACCUGCUUUAGCCAACCAAAAGAAUUCGUUCGGAAAAUGUUUUCCCUUAAAGAUCUUUUUGAACAGAGAUUCAGGGUCCACCAACCCCCAGCUUUCAUCCUUGUUUGGCAACCAAAGCCUUGUUAAAAAGAUGAAAGUCUGAAAUCUAAGGGGGGAAAAUACAUUACUUAUAACCUCGUUAAAAAUGCAUUACUUAUAGCUUUGUUUGGCAACCAUCGCCCAUGUAUUUUAUUGAAUACUAAAAUGCAAAUAAGAUGCCAAAAUGAAAACCGAGCAUUUCAUGGUUUAAAAAAUGCACUUACAGGUUGAUACACCAUUUCAUCUCCAUUAUUAAACCUAUUAGUUUGUCACGGAUUACAAAAGAAGAAGAGAAAAACUUGUUGCAUAAUUUAAUAGGGGCAAAUUAUAUGGUAAAAUAUAGAAAACACAAACAAUGAACAGAAGGAAAAACAGUCUCUAAAAGAAACAGAAAGAGAGAGAGUAAACAUCCGAUAUAGAAUACAUAUGGCCCCUUCUCUCAUAAAUAAAGUGACCUAAAUCAAUAAAGGGACCGGUAUCAAUGAAGUGAUUGCCUUAGCAUAUCCGCUUUACAAAAGGCCGCCUCCAAACCCAAUGGAGAUAAUGAGUAAAAUUUACCUGAAGAAAGAUUGCAUUUUUUUUCCAAUCAUUUAGUCAACAAAUAUGUUCAUUCCUGCUUUCUAGAUUUGCACCCAUAUUAGAAAGUUUUUCACAAAAUCAAAAUUCAUGACCAUACCAAUCUCAGAUUAAACACAAAGCACUAUUAACUGCCUCAGAUUAUGUAGAAAUGCAAACUAAUAUAGACCCUAGAGAGAAAAACAACCUACCCACUUGAGAUUGAACAUAAAGCAAAACAAAUUGCCACAAAUUAGGAAUAUAAGAUAGUACUAACCAUAUUCUACAUUAUUGUCGAGGAAAGGACGACCCCUCUAUCCAACCUUCAAAUUCCAAAAGGGGACAAUCCAUACUGAGCAAAUUGAUGAGCAGAAAAAUUGACCUUCCUCAUCGUCUUAGUUUCUCUCUGGGCAGUGACGCCGAGAACCCCUUCGCCGAAAACGCUUCAUCGUCGCAGUGAGUAGAAAGAGGGCAACGCAGAUAUUGGAGUAAACGUUUUCUCAAAUCCCAAACGUCGUUAAUGGUUUUAUUUCGUCUUUUAGAACCGUUCACCGCUUUUCCAAGCAGCCGUAACCUUGACAUGGGAUGAACUCGUAGUUUCAUUUCCUCUGAAAUCAAAAGUGUGGCAAACACCCGGGUGGAAUCAGCGGAGAAGUUUAGUGGGUUAAAAUCAUAAAAUUAUAAGAUAAUAGUAUAAAUUUAUUUAAUAAAAUUAAAAUAUUAUUUAUUUUUUUUUAUUGAGAUAAAAAUAUAAUUUGUUUAUGUAUUAAAAAUAUAAUUUUUUUUUUCAGUCCCCACUUACCUCUACCUCCGCCCAUGCCCACAUCCCUUCAGACUUUUUAAAGUAGUAAGCAGAUAUAAUAGCCUCCGACCAUAUGGAAGGGUUUGAAUGUCAUUUAUCUUGUCAUGUGAGGAUCACGGACAUGACAUAAAUCUGUCUAAAUCCUUAACAUACCACUGACGAAGGUGCUUUAGUGUUAAAAUUUA
rnacentral:lncRNA from 1 species